UGCAUGGCUGUUGGAGGGUAAUGUUUUGUAAUAUCUGGUUCAGUUCAGGAAUAGCCGAUACAUAGAGAGAAAUAAUUAAGUACAUUUUACAGACUUUUAUUUAUAAAAGUGCUGGUAUUUAAAUGGUGUCUAUUAAAAUAUUAGAUAGAAUAACGUCGAGUCAUUAUGCUCUUUUGUUUGGAGAUAUUCAUCUGUUACAAAGAGAGCUAUAUAGCUACUUUUGAAUGAGUAAAUCAAAUGUUAUCAUCCUAAUUGAAAAUUGAAAUGUUUUUAUAAAGGAGGAAUUAUUAGGAAUCUUUGGUUAGUUACUUAAAGGUGGACAGGAGAUAAACUUUGCACAUACUGCCCGUCAAACAAAAAGCGGAGAUGUAGAUGAGAACAGAAAAAACCACACAAUUGUGAAAUUGGGAUACUAAUUUGUGUUAAGUCGAAACAUGGUUGCUCAUCAGGAAUG
rnacentral:rRNA from 1 species